rnacentral:tRNA from 1 species
GCUAUUUUGGCAGAAAAAUGUGGUGAUUUUAGAAAUCAUUAAUAUAUAAUUUAUUAUAUAUAUAGUA